rnacentral:rRNA from 1 species
AUUGAACGCUGGCGGCAGGCCUAACACAUGCAAGUCGAGCUAGCGGCGGACGGGUGAGUAAUGUCUGGGCAACUGCCUGAUGGCGGGGGAUAACUCCUGGAAACGGUAGCUAAUACCUCAUACCAUCAGCUUUGCCCACAUGGGAUUCGCUAGUGGGUGGGGUAACGGCUCACCUAGGCGACGAUCCCUAGCUGGUCUGAGAGGAUGACCAGCCACACUGGAACUGAGACACGGUCCAGACUCCUACGGGAGGCAGCAGUGGGGAAUAUUGCACAAGGGGCGCAAGCCUGAUGCAGCCAUGCCGCGUGUGUGAAGAAGGCCUUCGGGUUGUAAAGCACUUUCAGCGGGGAGGCGUUACCCGCAGAAGAAGCACCGGCUAACUCCGUGCCAGCCGCCGCGGUAAUUC